rnacentral:lncRNA from 1 species
UUAUUUUAUUGAAGUACAUAUUGGGACACAACAUAUAAACUUGCUCGUCAGUUAAAUAGAUCCUUCAUAGUGACAUCUCCAUUCUGAAUGCGUGUGACAUACACAAAUUAUAGGUACUGGAAAACUGCACCAAAUGCCUAAAGACCUGAAUUGAAUACAUACACUUGGUAUAAUCCAGCUUACAAGCCAAUCAGCACUCGGUCAUUUAAAGGACACUACAACAUUUUUCAUCAUAAUCUACUCCAGAACUCUAAUUUCUUGAGGUCUAAUAUGCUCACGGCCAGCAAAAGAAUUUUUCCGCUCGUAAGCUGUUGUUUGCUCCGUAACUUGCUCCUCCAUUUGCCUUAUCCGAGACCAAGUUUACCCAUUGGACUUUAGACAGCCAUCCGUAGCAUCAUAAGAGGAAUCAACCCACCCGCCCACCCCUUUGAGGUAGUGUUGCGAUGAACCAUCAAGUUAACCGUUAGAUUUAAUCAGAACUCAGACUUUCAGAAGACCUUAUGACGGUCGAAAUGGUGGACCGUCAUUCUUGUGACGGAUUAUUAACUUGACCGUCAGGCCUAGACAGAACCCAAGAAAUUAGGUCUGGCUGCGAUGGACCAAAUGGCGGACCGUCAGUCUUACGACAGAUCACCAAGUUGGCCAUCCAUUUUAUGAAGAACCUGGCUCCCUGAAGGACUCAACGACAGACCAAAUGGUAGACCGCCAGUCUUACGACGGACCACCAAGUUUGCCGUCAGUUUUAUCCAUAAAGUGACCUUCCAAGAUCAGCAGCGACGGGCCAAAUGGUGGACCAUCAACUUUGCGAUGGACCACCAAUUUGUUCGUCAUUUUGGAUGCAGAUUUUAUGAUUUUGAAUUUUAACUCCCUUUUAGCUGGGAACAUCCAAAUACCAAGUGUUAAGGUUUAGUGGGGAAAUUUUUUUGUCUUGAAGUUCAAACUUACUCCUCUAGUGAGAGCUUUGUACUACUUUUUAUUGGGAUUUGAAUCAAGAGAUUGAUAUUUUGAUUAGUAGUAUUAAUAUUUUGCGUCAAAGAUUAAGAAGAGCAAUACUGUAAUUUUUGUAAGUACUGUUCUAAAGUUAUUUAUGAACAUAAAUAUAACUUUGAUUUCUAAUAUGGAGAUGAGUAGAGAAACUCGCAUAACUAGGGUUAUGGGAUCCUUGAUGUAGAGAACUAUUUUGGGGUUGUGAAUGGGUUUGAUUUGUAACAUCUAUCGAAAUUGCAUGAAUCAUUCUUCAUCUUAAUGAUAUCUCUUGGUUGCAAACCAGAGAAGUGAGCCAAUGAACUCCACUUGUCUGACAAGAAAGUGGAUGUUGGGAAAAAAGUGAUUCACAUAAACUCCAUAGGUUUACCCUUUGGGUUAAUAGGUUGAUGCCUUAACAGGAUCAACCAUCAUGAGAGUGUUAUUGAAUAAUGUAUGGACCCUUUAAGUUCAUGAGAAGUAAAGGGUGAAAUACUUAUGAGGUUGAGAAACAUAUGGGUAAUCUUCAGAAUUCAAUAAUUCUUACAAUUGGAUACAUAAGUUACAAUUCGAGAACAAACUCACAACCCUAAUUGUUUGAAUAUCUUGGUGAGCAUAACUCUAGUUAAUUUAUUCUCAUUGGAACUACAUCUACAUUUACUCUCAGUAGUUGGGCUUUUGUGUAACGCCAAUACAAAAGAACAUUGUUAACAUUUCCAAACCCCCUUUAUUUUGGAGCCUUAGAUCAACAGUCUAAUAAUAGCCACAAUACUUAGUGAACAUAGUAUUUCCUGUGGGAUUUGACACCCAACCCAAUUGGGUUCAAUAUUUGACAACGACCGCUUACUCUCUCGUAAGAGAGUUGUAAUUUGGGUGUAUCAGUAGUCAUCUUUUCUUCUCUUGUCACCAACACACUAUCUACUCUAAUAUUUGUGCCUAUCUCCAUAAUAGUUCCAAUCUUGGUUUCCUUACCCUUUGGCUCUAAAACCCGCCAACUUACGAUCUUGGUACUUUGCUUCUUUUUCUAAAUCAAAAUCAUAAGAUUUAGAGACCUUACCCUGUGAACCAACUGCAUUCACUUUCUCAAAAUUCAUUGUUGCAAACUGCUUCGUCAGGAGCCCAAUAUCAGUUCUAAGUUGCGUAAUAUCUUAUGCCACAAAAUUAUCAACCACUCUAUGCUCACUAGAAUCUCCAAUGGCAUAAGUGCCAGUACCUCUCUCCGUAUCCCAAGUAUACCACCCUCAGUUGGUGAGAGAGAUUUGGUCUAAAAUAUCUUAUGCUACUUUCCAGCGUAGAUGCAUAAAUGCUCCACCAGUGAUCGUAUCUGCUAUAGCUUGAGAACUGAUAGUCAGGGGUCGAUAAAAUAUCUCAAGUAAAUUAGUCUCAUAAAUAUGAUGAUUGGUUACCAUCUUCUUAAACUGAAACCAUUCCUCAUUCAUCGACUCAGAAUGUAGCUUCCUGAAGUUAUAUGUCUCAUCUAUCAAUUGCAAUAUCCUGGGCAGAGGGAAGAAACGGUCUAGAAACUGCCUGCAUAACUAAUUCCAAGUAGUAAUUGAUCCUUUAGGAAGUUUCCAUAACCAUAAUGAAGCUUCACUAGUCAACAAAAACAGGAACAACCUAAGUCUGUACGCUUUCUAAUCUACCCCACCUAUAGUGUAUAAAGUUCAGAUCCUAAUAAAGUUUGCAAGAUACAUGUUUGCAUCAUCUGUAUCCAAGCUCGCAAACACACCUUUUGAGUUCAAGAGUUGGAUCAUAGCACAAGUAAUGUCGAACUUAACACCUGGUGUCAAAGUAGGAGGAAUGAUGGCUUCUGUCUAGGCAGAAUCAAUGUAUCCCAUAUCCUCCUCUGGAUCAUCAUAUCGUGGUAAGUACUGGUAGGUUGGAAUUACUUGAACUCUACCACCUCCAACUCUAUAUCAAUUUUCGUCGAGUGCUAUUGGAUAAUCUGUUUCUUGUCUCUGUCUUACUAUCUCUGCCUCCUGCGCAUCUGCUUCCCUUUUCUGGUUAACAGCUUUCUCUAAUAACUAUUUAGUUCUCUAAUCAAUAAUGUUUUGAACAUUCCCAAGAGGAUGAGGCACAGUAUUAGGAUCAUCCCUAACCCCUUCAAGAUGGCCUUCACGUACGUAUUCUGUCAUCGUACGAUUCAGCUGUAGAAUUUUCUCUGGGUUUAGGAUGUAGUGGGUGUAAGGGAUUGCCUUGACUCCUAGUUAGGCAUACACUAGUGUAUGAUCACCAAAAUCAAUAAAACCAGUAUGAUAAUAAUCAUACUGGUUUGUUGUUUCAAAAACUAUAAGAGGAGCAUCAACCAACUUAUCAACACCGCUAGCCCCAGCACCAGCACCAUGACCAUUACCGUCAUCACCACCGCCAUCUCCAGUAGCCCCAUCAACAAUAAAAAGCCCACCCUCCAAAGUGUUUUUCUUGUGAUGGUUAUUGCUCUGACCAUUUGUUUUUAUUCUAUCAAUCACCUUAGGGUCUAAUAAAGUUUGCACAGACUGCAAAGUAAGAAAAUAAAUAAUAUAUAUAUAUUAGAAUGAUAAUUAAAUUAUAUAAAUAAAUCAUUAAUUAAAAUAAAAACAUAAUUAGAAUUAUACUUACUGCUUCCUCUGGGGGUUGACAAGAUCAAGAAAUUUUAUUUUUUAUCACUUUUUUGCCGACAGCCAUCUCAGAAUUCUUACAUAUGAAACUUCUUCUUGGUAGUUCACUUGUUGUCUGAGAUAAGAAAUGGCUUUAAAUAUUCAAGCCUAUAAAAUUACGCUAAUAAAUCAAAAACAUUAUUCAAUUAAAAAUAAAUAAAUCAUAAUAAAAGAAAUAUUUACCAUGAAAGUCCAUGAAAAGUCAUAUAAGUUGAUUGUCUUUGGCGAUAAUGGAGCCAACAAAUAUUUAGCAGUUAUUUUGCAUCUUUCAUAACCCCAAGGAUAGUGUUUAAAUACCUCAAGAUCCUCGGAGAGCUUUAUUAAAUCAAGUGGUAUGUUGAUGUUAACAUCUCUCGCUCAAAGAAUAUUAUGUACAAACCAAACCAAGCACAAUGAUUGAUUAUUCUUCUUUAUGUUUUUACCUUUCAAAUCUUCUAUCAGAUUUGUGUUUUUGAAGCUUGGACCAACAAGGGACAAUAAGUCAUCAUCAUCACUUGACUUGUCUUUGUCUUUUGGUGUGCGGGGUAUUUUUUCGAUUAGAAUAGGUACAGGUUGAGAAGGAGGAUAACAUUUUAGUCCAGUAACUAUGAAAAACUCUUUCCAACCAAAACCAAACUGGCAUGCCACAGUAAUUUAUCCACACCUCAUCCAUCUUAUCUUUAUUUUCAUACAUAAACCUACGCUUGAGAAGACCAUACACCAUGGUCAUUUCGAGACAAGCAUUGUUGCUCUCAGAAAAAUUAAGAUAUUGUCCAAAGCAGCUGUCCUUGAAAUAAGCAUUCAAUUUUUGAUCUUAGAGUAUUUUUUUGAAGAUGUCAAAAGAUUUUCUCAUAACUGACUUUACCAAAAAAUCACCAGUUAAAUUUGUGGCAUCAUCGCUUCAUUGUCACAUGAUAACUAUCAAUGCUGAAGGUUUUGAUCAACUCUUCAAUGGAAGGGCUAUUAGCAUUUGGAUCAUGUCAACUUUUUGAAAUAAAUUCAACAUCUCUUUUGAAACUUUCCUCUUCCUCAUAUUCAUUUUCUUCUGUUUCUGAUUAAGAUAUCAUUUGUACAGCAAGCUCAUAGAGUAGUGGAUGUAGCUUAGCUACUUUACUUAUUCCUUUACUUGGAUUUGAUUCGCUUUCUUUUCUUUUGAAAGCCAUAUUAUCUAAAAAUAAGAGAAAACUAAAAAGAUUACAAUUGAUUAAUGCAUCAUUAAAAAGCGAUAACAGUAAAUUAAUAAGUAACAGAUGACCCAUCUGUUGGAAGAAAUCAAAGUCUUGGACAUGUCAUCUGUUGGAUUAACUGUUAGGAUUUCAUCCAACAGAAAAACCAUUUGUUGUUCAUCUGUUGCAAUAGAUGGUUCAUCUGUUGAAAAAAAUAAACUAGUAGCAAGAUGUAUUCAAUAGAACAACAGCAAUAUCACUAUUUAUCAAUACACUAUUUUUAUCAAGACUAACAACAACCCACAAAUAAUAAAUCAACCCAGCACACCAACACAACACACACACCAAGAACAUCAACAUUUACCAACAACAUUAACAUUGUACAAACACAAAUAACAAAAAAGCUUAAAAAACACAAAAAAACAUCAACAAAUCAAAUCACCAGAGUUGUUUGUUAGAUUUGAUCACAAUAGAUGUCUCUGGAAAAAUUUUAAAAAUCAACUCUCACGAUUUUUACAAAAAUGUUCGACAACAAGAACUAUAGUAACAACAAAAAAUCAUAUUUCACUCCGAAAAGAGAAGAGAAGAAAUACCACAAAUUAGAAUUUUCUUGAACCCUCAUAUCAAAUUUAAGCAACAAAUAUUGAAAGUGUUAACCCAUACUAGAAGAGAUGUUAACUCAAGUUUCCUUUUUUCUUCGUCAUUAGAAAGCCCUCAUUUUUUACCUAUGAAAGUCAAAAAGGAACGAUGAAAAACUCGAAACUAUUGUCACUGGAGAAUAUUGUCACGUCGAUUGACGAUUCAAAGUCGAAAAGGAAUUCGAAACUAUUUGUCGCCAGAGGUUGAAGUCGCCGGAGAUUGAAGGGAGAAAUUUGCCAAACUGUUAGUUGCGAGAAGUUUGAGAGAAAUUGUCAAGAGAAAAGGGGGAGAGACGGUUGAUUUGGAGAGGAGAGGAGAGUUUGAGGGGUGUGGAUUGAUUUGUAUUUUUUUAAAAAUUAGAAAGUUUUGAAAAUAUUAAUUAAGUCCACAAUUAACUUAAUUAAAUUUCUUAAUUAUGUUUGACCCUUGUAAGUGGGUCAAUAUCACCAAUACCACAAUACAAACUUAAAAGCCACAUUUCCUUCAAUUUUCUCCAGUAAUGUACUCCUUCUGAUUUUAACAUGUCUAGCUAUAUAAUAUUUUUCCUUGACCAUUUGGUUUACACUGAAAAGUUACAAUUUUGUUGAUCGUGCUCCUUAGGCAGAUUGUACCCUUGGAGGCAUUUCUUUCCUCCUUUUUAAUAGUACCAAGAAACUUUAACGACUUAAAAAUGGAAUAAAAUAUCAAUUAAUUUCCCACUAUUAUUUUUCGUCAAAGUUCCGAUAAAUGCUUCGGUUAUUAUUAAGUUAAUAACAACCUUAAGUAUAAUUCAAUUAAUUUUUAAAAAAAAAAAAAAAAUUAUGACUGCAAACCGCAUGCAAAUUGACUAGUGCGUAAGCAAAAGCAAAAGAGGUACUAGCACAUAUGUACAAACUAUUGAAAUUCUAGAUGAAACUUCUCUCCCCUCUCUAUCCUAUCUACCAAAUUACAUUUGCGUUACCUUCACCUGAACAAUUUUUUAAAACUUUUUGAAUUAGAUGUACGCCGAAGUAUUUCCAUUGUAUGCACUGUACUUAUUUUAUUGAAGUACAUAUUGGGACACAACAUAUAAACUUGCUCGUCAGUUAAAUAGAUCCUUCAUAGUGACAUCUCCAUUCUGAAUGCGUGUGACAUACACAAAUUAUAGGUACUGGAAAACUGCACCAAAUGCCUAAAGACCUGAAUUGAAUACAUACACUUGGUAUAAUCCAGCUUACAAGCCAAUCAGCACUCGGUCAUUUAAAGGACACUACAACAUUUUUCAUCAUAAUCUACUCCAGAACUCUAAUUUCUUGAGGUCUAAUAUGCUCACGGCCAGCAAAAGAAUUUUUCCGCUCGUAAGCUGUUGUUUGCUCCGUAACUUGCUCCUCCAUUUGCCUUAUCCGAGACCAAGUUUACCCAUUGGACUUUAG